rnacentral:rRNA from 1 species
GACGAACGCUGGCGGCGUGCUUAACACAUGCAAGUCGAACGGAAAGGCCCUGCUUUUGUGGGGUGCUCGAGUGGCGAACGGGUGAGUAACACGUGAGUAACCUGCCCUUGACUUUGGGAUAACUUCAGGAAACUGGGGCUAAUACCGGAUAGGAGCUCCUGCUGCAUGGUGGGGGUUGGAAAGUUUCGGCGGUUGGGGAUGGACUCGCGGCUUAUCAGCUUGUUGGUGGGGUAGUGGCUUACCAAGGCUUUGACGGGUAGCCGGCCUGAGAGGGUGACCGGGGACAAUGGGAGUGAGGGACGGAGCAGACGGGAACGGGAGGCAGCAGUGGGGAGUGUUGCAGAACGGGCGGAAGGGUGAGACGACGGCGCUCGGUGCGGGAAGCCGGGCUUCGGGGUGGGAACAGAUGUGUAAGGAAACGAAGCGAGAGUGACGGUAAUGGAUAAAGAAGCAACGGCUAACUACGUG